rnacentral:lncRNA from 1 species
GGCAUAAUGGUUAUGAAAGCCGCAGUAGAUGAUGACGCUUCGGGAUGGGAGCUCAAUGUCCCUGAGAAAAUGGAAAAAAGUAGCACAAGCUGGGUGGACAUAACCCAGGACUUUGAAGAUGCUUGUCGAGAGCUGAAGUUGGGAGAACUGCUUCACGAUAAGCUGUUUGGUCUGUUUGAAGCCAUGUCUGCUAUUGAAAUGAUGGAUCCCAAGAUGGAUGCCGGGAUGAUCGGGAACCAAGUGAAUAGAAAAGUCCUCAAUUUUGAACAAGCCGUCAAGGAUGGCACCAUUAAAAUUAAAGACCUCAGCUUGCCUGAACUGAUAGGAAUAAUGGAUACCUGUUUUUGCUGUUUGGUAAGAAAUAAAACGAGACUGUUGGUUCACUAAA